GACGAACGCUGGCGGCAUGCCUAACACAUGCAAGUCGAACGAGACCUUCGGGUCUAGUGGCGCACGGGUGCGUAACGCGUGGGAACCUGCCCUUAGGUUCGGAAUAACUCCCCGAAAGGGGUGCUAAUACCGGAUAAUGUCUUCGGACCAAAGAUUUAUCGCCCUUGGAUGGGCCCGCGUUGGAUUAGCUAGUUGGUAGGGUAAAAGCCUACCAAGGCGACGAUCCAUAGCUGGUCUGAGAGGAUGAUCAGCCACACUGGGACUGAGACACGGCCCAGACUCCUACGGGAGGCAGCAGUGGGGAAUAUUGGACAAUGGGCGAAAGCCUGAUCCAGCAAUGCCGCGUGAGUGAUGAAGGCCUUAGGGUUGUAAAGCUCUUUUACCCGGGAUGAUAAUGACAGUACCGGGAGAAUAAGCACCGGCUAACUCCGUG
rnacentral:rRNA from 1 species